rnacentral:misc_RNA from 1 species
UUUCCGUAGGUGAACCUGCGGAAGGAUCAUUAAUGAGUUGUCAUGGGGUUCGAUGCUGGCAGCCAGUCUUUGGAUGCAUGUGCUUGCCCUAACAAUCAUCUUCCAAACACCUGUGCACAUUUUUGAGGGAGUCUUGAGUUGGUUGCCGCUCUUGGGUGAUUUUCUCACAUUCCCUUAAAUCAUUAUACGCUAUUAACAAUGUUGAACGUGCUCUGUGCCGCAAGGCUAUUAAUAUAAUACAACUUUUAACAACGGAUCUCUUGGCUCUC